UGACCGUAUAAAAAAAUGUGUUUAGUCAUGAUCAUGAUUAUAUUCCUAACCUAUAGGCAGAUCAUUGGCCAUUUCCGAUUAAUUUUAAAAACAUCAAAACAAAAUCACUGUCGAAUACCGCGCGUCCUUCGUCCUUCGACAAGGGACAACACGUCCUGUCGUAUAGAUUAAUUGUUUGUGUCGCGGACGAACGAUACGGAGUCUGUGCUACCAUACACUAACUACUAGUAUUUUUAUCAUAUUUUAAAAGGAGUGUCGUCCAUAAAAGAGAUGAAUGAAAUACACCGUUCAUUGUAUUGUAAGAGUGAACAAAUGGGUGUUCCGAAACCCAAUAAAUGUAAUCAUCAAACCAUACAAAUACUGAACACACAGUAUUUGAUGUCCUACAAUCUUUACGCAAGUAUGUCGUUUCAAGAGAUAAGGCAAAAAGCUGAUGAUGAUACAAUAGUUAUUGGACACGAGGUUGUAUUAACUCGUCUGUUAGUCAAUAUUUCCGGGCUAAGUUCACUAAUUUUAGUGAACACAAAAAAUAUGCUUUAGUUAUAAGAGAAUGUGAAGAUCAUGAUCAGCAAGGAAAUGUACAGGUGUAAUCGCUAUGGAUGGUUGUAUGUUAUGCUGGUUAUGAUGUCAAAGUGGAAUGGCGGUUGAAUUCUAUUGAAAUGUACGACGCUAGCACCAAUACCUGAUCAAUGGAAGAAAUUUCGGAAACUAUAAGUAAUGUUGGUGGUGUAGUAAUUGUUGACAAGGCAUUUGUCACCAAACUGUAUUAUUAAUUAGUAAACGUGGUCCCAUUGUUCAUAAUAUGUGAUAUAAUAAAUACACAAUGAUACAUAAAAAAUUUAUUAUAGUGUAAGAAAUCCAUGAUUUUGUUUAAUUUAUAAUAAACCAUUUAUUUAUAUUU